AUUCUAUCAUGAAAACUCUAGAUUUUAGGUUGAAUUCUAGUAAAAUGAAGUAAAAGAUUGAAAGAAACGAGUUAAGGAACACUUAUCUAUGAUUUGAGGAAGAAAGUGUCUUUGAAAGAUCGCCCUAGGCCUCUUAUCCUUUUGAAAACGAGAAGAAAAAUGGCUAGAAUCCGAAUUAAAUGUUCAUUGCCCAGCGACCUUCGCACCUGCGUCGGCAAAAUCUAGCAAUGUACCUCGGAUCACCACAAGUAUAACAUAACUUCGGUUGCUGUGACAGCUGACCCUGAAACUGACCCUGUCGACCUGAAUAACCACCCUAAUAACUCUGGAGUGCAGGUGCACUAAUAAGAACUGGUGGUGCACUGUAGGCUAGCUGGUCGGAAUAAUGCAUCUGAGGGCCACGACCACUUGAGGCAUUGUGGGAUGCCUGGAGCGCUGAAUGAAACGGCCUGGGAGGAAGUACUCCUGCCUCUAGAUGAGGCACCGCUGAACUCACCGGAAUGACGAGGUCUCUUGUCAGACCCUUGACCUCCCUGAGUAAGAACUAGUUCGACUCGUCUGGCGAUAUUAGCAGCCGCCUAGAAAAGAAUCUCACUCCCAGUCUCCUUAGCCAUCUGCAAUCUGAUAGGCUGAGCAAGUCCAUCUCAUACUGAGUGACAGUCAUACUGGCCUGCUGGAGACGCUCAAACUGACGGUGC
rnacentral:lncRNA from 1 species